GACGAACGCUGGCGGCGUGCUUAACACAUGCAAGUCGACAUGAGUGGCGAACGGGUGAGUAAUACGUGGGUACCCUGCGAUCCUUUUUGGGAUAAGCCAUGGUAACGAGGACUAAUACCGGUUAUAGGGGGAUGGGGGAGUGGCCUAUCGGGUUGUUGGUGGGGUGAUGGCCUACCAAGGCGGUGCUGGGUAGCAGGCCUGAGAGGCUGACCGGCAACAUUGGGACGGCGAUACGGCCCAGGGGCGUACGGGAGGGGGCAGUGGGGGCUAUUGCCGCAUGGGUGAAAGCCUGAUGCAGCGUGGAUGCAGGGGGGCUGCAGGCUUUCGGGUUGUAAAACUCUGGCGGUAGCGAACCGUUAGGUGGAGAAGAAGCGCCGGCUAACUACGUGCCAGCAGCCGCGGUAAUAC
rnacentral:rRNA from 1 species